UGAGCAGAAAAGCAUCCCAGCAUGCACGAAACAUCAAACUUUAAGAUGGAUACGCUACAACAGCAGAAGACCUCACUGGGUUCCACUCCUGUCAGCCAAGAACAAGAAUCGGAGGCUAUCGUGGGCACAUGCUCAUUGAAACCAGACAGUUGAAGAUUACAGAAAAAAAAGCACCUGGUCUUUUUCCAGACUUCACCUGCAAUAUAAUAUAGGCAGAGGCAUUACAUUAAGCAUGGCUACAGCAGCCACAAGAUGUCAGUAAUGCAUCAUAAAAUGUCUCAUUGUGUGUGUGAGAGAGUAUGUGCGUGAGGGCGAGUGUUUAUACACCCAUACAUAAUUAAUGGAAACCCGUGCCAUUCAAUCUACUCAAUUCCAAAUGGGUAGUAUAAGGAGAGAGACAGACUGAGAGUGAGUGAGAGAGUGUUCUGUUUGGGUGUACUCUUGCAUGUUCUGAUCUUGGCAAGGAUAUCAUUAGAUUCUAAAACCCAGGUGACUGUUGUGCAGUUCCACAUGAUUAAGCCAGAUAAUUGUGUGUUGAUAGCACAAAUGUUCACAGGGCCUGGUGGAAUACAGUACAUUUUUUUCCAUAGCAUUCUUUCCAUAGAAGCCAGACAAGCUCAGCAUGAGUAAAUGACUAAAGUGUAUGGUUAGAGUAGAGACUCAAAUGAUGGUCAAAGACUCUUAUAAUGGACUAAGUCUGAGUUCACACUAGCAAGCAACAAGUCACUCGUGUCUCUUCUGGACGUGUAGUGACAACUACUGCUAUCACUUGUGAGUGUGCACACUGUCCAGCAUUCGACUGUUUGUUUGUUUGUCUGUCUGUUUUUAGUUAAGAUGAAAAAAUGAGAGUACAUAAGUUCUAAUACUAACUGGUUAAACAAUGCACUAAGCCGUGUGAAAAUUGUUUGAUUGACAUCUUAUGCUAAGCGUUUUACAUUGUAGCUAUAUGUACACUCAUCAGUGGUAUCAAAGUGCUACUUCCUUCCAAGCUUUAUGUUUCAUGUUGUCUCUAUACACAUUUAAUAAGAGGUUGCAUAUGACAGGAUCAGGUGAAACCAGUGUCAUAAUGGUUUCGUCCAUUUUAGUGCAUAACAGUAGAUGGAACUGCAGGUAGAAAUAAAUCUUUGGUAAAUGGUCUGCACUUUUAUAGCGCUUUAUAUUACACUGUGUCGCAUUCACCCUUUCACUCACACGGUAGCAGAGCUGCCAUGCAAGGCGCUAACUUGCCAUGAGAGCAACUUGGGGUUCACUGUCUUGCCCAAGGACACUUCGGCAUGUGGAGUCACGUGGGGCGGGAAUCGAACCGCCAACACUACGAUUAGCGGACGACCCGCUCUACCACCUGGGCCACAGCUGCCAGCUUUGAAUGGGUAACAUAAGAAAUGGUGGCCCAUGUGCACUUACUGUGACCUGCCUAAUUUGCAAAGAAUUGAGAAAAUCUCAAUUCAAAUGUCAGUUGUUUUGUUGCUUGUCACUGAAAACAUGGCUACAACAUGCUUCACACAUGCGCGUAGAAAAUGAACGGUGGUAUGUUGCUUCCUAGUGUGAGCUUAUGGUAAAGACUCUGAUUAGGGUAGUGGAAAAACUUUGAUUAUAGUAAAGAUGGAGCUAAGUAUUAAAAACCCUUAUUAGGUUGUUAGGGCAGAAGUAGGGGCUGGACUACUACAAUGCUGGGGACUCACUGUGCCAGAGUGAAUUUUAAACAAAGCCUCCAAAAUUGAGGUCAAGCAGAUGCCCCAGAUCUCUGCACCUCCAUGGAAGAGCAGAUGUUGAAGCAACAAACUGAGAACUCAUGAGGGUGUAUAUAUAUAUCAAGCAUUGUUGGAUUUGGACCGUAUACUAGGUCCCUUAUUCAUAUACCGUAGGUCUAAUCUGAUGUACACAUUUACCCUAUGGAAAUUGAGUAGAAACGUCAAAACACUUAUCCACUUAUCUCAGGAGAAUUUGCUCAAGGCCAUGCAGCAGUAUCAGUGGCUCUAUAAUAGGCUUGCCUGGGUGAAUUAAUUUGCAUCAGGAUUUAAAGUGCAGACGAAGACUCAAAUUAUUCAUAACCCGAAAACCCCCCCAAAGUUUUAUUCUGCUUUAAAUUGUGCAAUUAGGGACAAAGGGUUAGGUUUAGAAAUAAAGUAUAAUGCAGCAGAGAAGACUCUUGUCUCAUGUGAAGAAAUGAAUAGGGGCUUCAACAUCCUUUGUCACAUAUACAUUACAGCACAGUAGGGGCAUUUGCUCAUGCAUUGCUUUGCUACGAAUUAAUCAUACAAAAGAGUUGUGUGUGUGUGUGUGUGUGUGUGUGUGUGUGUGUGUGUUGUACACUGUCCUUCACUAAUGUUGACACCCUUGGUAAAUGUGAGCAAAGAAGGUUGUGAAAAAUUAUCUUUACUGUUUAACUUUUUGAUCUUUUCUGAAAAGAAAAAAAAAAAAAAAAGAUU
ensembl:lncRNA